AAGAAUCCGCGAUUUUAGCGUCUGAAUUUACCAUCCGGUCCUAUCAGACGCAAAUUAGCGUCCGUUUUUGUAAAUUUAGCAUCUGUCUUUGAACGGACGCUAAUUAGCGUCCGUUUUUGUAAAAUUAGCGUCCGUCUAUGAAAUGGACGCUAAUUAGCGUCCGUUAAACAAGUUUACCGUCUAACAUAACGGACGGUAUUCAAUGGUCAUAAAGAAAAACACGACCCACCUUAUUUCCAACCCUAUCUCUAUCUAUCCUUGUUCUCUCACCUCACAUCACAAUUCACAACCUCCUGUUUCUUCGUCUUCUUUCUCGCUCUUCUUUUCUUCAAUGCUGCGCUAUUUUAUUCUCUGAUUUGAAGGAGGUCCGUCGACGGUAUUCAAUGGUCCGCUACCACACUUUCUCUGAUUUGAAGGAGGUUCGAUCGAUUUCUGAGCCAAUCCUUGUCGCAGGUUUUCGUUUUAGGGUUAGUGAUUUUUUUGGGUUUUUUUAUGUUGGUUGUUUCAGAUCUAGUUUUUUUGUUAAUUUCUCAAUUCUCCUUCAAAACCCCAUAUUUAUCCUCUCUUGUUUUCGUUAAUUUCGUAUGUUUUUCGUUAAUUUUUGUUAAUUUCGUGUGUUUUUUUCGUUUUCUCGAUUUUUAUUUAUCCUCUCUUUUUCGAUUUUUUUUCAGAUCUGGUUUUUUCUUGAUUUUUUCGUUGGGUUUUUUUCCUAAUUAUUUCUAGGUUUUUUCUUCUUCUCAUCAGAUUUGGGGUUUUUUUGGGGAUUAUAUAUGAUUUUGUGUUGAAUUUUUAAUCUGGUGGACUAUCUGGUGUUUUGAUCUGCUUACGGAAGUUGUUUCGGUGAGGUUUCGGGGAUGGCGGUUUCGUCGGCGUUUCGGGGGUGUGGUGUUGGUUGGGGUUUCGGGGGGAGGGGGUUAGUCGGGGUUCAAUGUUUGUUUUGGGGAAGAGGGUCGUUGUUCGUUUGACAUUGUAAGGUUAACCUUUGAGCAAGACAGUUGUGUAACUUAAGAAACGGUAUCGUUUUCCUCUUCUUCCGCCGUUCAUUUUCUAGAUUUUUCUGCAAAUGUUCUCAACUUCCUGUAGAAUACACUAAAGCCUUCUCAAGAAGGAUGGAAAUGGCGGCCCUUAAACCCCAUCAUCGCAUUGUGUAGAACUGAGUUGAGCUUAGGAGCAUACAUCUUUUCUCUUACAAGCAGUUAAACUAUCGGGACAAGUUUCAUCUUGCUAUGCCAUGAUGAAAUGCAUCCACUACGGCCAUGAGGUACUCUUUUAUUUCUCUCUGCCUUCCCUCUGUUUCUUGCUUGCUUUAUCAACAGUUGUGUAUUUUCUCUUUCUUUUUUUUAUUUUGGGUUAGGUAGAUUCUAGAACGAAACCCCUCGCUUUCUUCAUCAAAAAUACCUGUCACAAAUAAUUAAGGAGUUAUGAUGAUUAAAUGCUUCACUUCAAAUGAUUGUAUUGGGUUUAAGUUUAUGUUCUUCUGAUAUAGAUUGUGGCCUUGGCUAAUUUGUUGCCUGUGGAUGAUUCAAUCGACGAAUUGGACAGCUAUAUGUAUCAAACUGUAAGUUUUUUUACUUUACUUUACACAGAUACCUCAUCAUACUUCAUGUGCUCUUACCUUAGCUGCUAUUUUUAUGAGAGUCGUGAAACCUUUCUGUUGGACUCUAAGUGCAAAGAAACUUUGUCAACAUUCAGAUUGCCUUCCUUAUCAUGAGGCCAUUACACCGUGGAGUUACUAUUCAAAUCGGUGGUAGUGUUUUCUCUUGAUAAGAAACCUCUAUCAAAAUGUCAUCUAUGACUUCAAGUUUUAUCUGCUUCUGCAACAAAUCUGUGAGAAAAACCAUUGAUCUAUUUUGUUUUCUUCUCAU